rnacentral:piRNA from 1 species
UACCUCUCUGAAUACAUUUAAGAUGUAGGGU